UACGUGGGGUGCGAGCGUUGUUCGGAAUUACUGGGCGUAAAGCGCGUGUAGGCGGUUCGCAAAGUUCGAUGUGAAAGCCCUGGGCUUAACCCAGGAACUGCAUUGAAAACUGGCGGACUUGAGUCCGGGAGAGGGUCGCGGAAUUCCUGGUGUAGAGGUGAAAUUCGUAGAUAUCAGGAGGAACACCGGUGGCGAAGGCGGCGACCUGGACCGGUACUGACGCUGAGACGCGAAAGCGUGGGGAGCAAACAGG
rnacentral:rRNA from 1 species